rnacentral:rRNA from 1 species
GAUGAACGCUGGCGGCGUGCCUAAUACAUGCAAGUCGAGCGAACAGACGAGGAGCUUGCUCCUCUGACGUUAGCGGCGGACGGGUGAGUAACACGUGGAUAACCUACCUAUAAGACUGGGAUAACCUCGGGAAACCGGAGCUAAUACCGGAUAAUAUAUUGAACCGCAUGGUUCAAUAGUGAAAGACGGUUUUGCUGUCACUUAUAGAUGGAUCCGCGCCGCAUUAGCUAGUUGGUAAGGUAACGGCUUACCAAGGCAACGAUGCGUAGCCGACCUGAAAGGGGGGACGGCCAGCCGAGAAAUGAGGCACAGUCCAGACUCCUGAGGGGGGCAGCAGUAGGGAAUCUUCCGCAAUGGGCGAAAGCCUGACGGAGCAACGCCGCGUGAGUGAUGAAGGUCUUCGGAUCGUAAAACUCUGUUAUUAGGGAAGAACAAAUGUGUAAGUAACUAUGCACGUCUUGACGGUACCUAAUCAGAAAGCCACGGCUAACUACGUG